AUUGAACGCUGGCGGCAGGCCUAACACAUGCAAGUCGAACGAGUGGCGUACGGGUGAGUAAUGUCUGGGAAACUGCCCGAUGGAGGGGGCUAACUACUGGAAACGGUAGCUAAUACCGCAUACCAUCGGAUGUGCCCAGAUGGGAUUAGAUAGUAGGUGGGGUAACGGCUCACCUAGGCGACGAUCCCUAGCUGGUCUGAGAGGCUGACAAGCCACACUGAAACUGUGACAGGGUCCAGACUCCAACGUGAUGCAGCAGUGGUGAAGAUUGCACAAUGGGCGCAAGCCAGAUGCAGCCAUGCCGCGUGUAUGAAGAAGGCCUUCGGGUGGUAAAGUACUUUCAGCGAUGAGGCGUUACUCGCAGAAGAAGCACCGGCUAACUCCGUGCCAGCCGCCGCGGUAAUUC
rnacentral:rRNA from 1 species